rnacentral:rRNA from 1 species
AACGAACGCUGGCGGCAUGCCUAACACAUGCAAGUCGAACGAACCCUUCGGGGUGAGUGGCGCACGGGUGCGUAACACGUGGGAACCUGCCCUUAGGUUCGGAAUAACACAGAGAAAUUUGUGCUAAUACCGGAUAAUGUCUUCGGACCAAAGAUUUAUCGCCUUUGGAUGGGCCCGCGUAGGAUUAGCUAGUUGGUGAGGUAAUGGCUCACCAAGGCGACGAUCCUUAGCUGGUCUUAGAGGAUGAUCAGCCACACUGGGACUGAGACACGGCCCAGACUCCCACGGGAGGCAGCAGUGGGGAAUAUUGGACGAUGGGCGAAAGCCUGAUCCAGCAAUGCCGCGUGAGUGAUGAAGGCCUUAGGGUUGUAAAGCUCUUUUACCUGGGAUGAUAAUGACAGUACCAGGAGAAUAAGCCCCGGCUAACUCCGUGCCAGCCGCCGCAGUAAGAC